rnacentral:misc_RNA from 1 species
GGCAAAUAGACAUUGACAUGGGGUAAUUCAUUAAAAAUUAAAUUGAUCACAGUUAUUGCUUUUAACAAUUAACACAGCAUAAUCUCACAUUCCACUGGUUCAUAUAAGGCAGUUUUUUUAUCUAGAGUUCUAAACUGGAAAACACACCCUCGAACCACAUGAACAGCCCAAUCAAAUGCAAAAAAAGAAAUAGAUAAUGAAGCAAGUUGCUGACAAGAUAGCGCACAGAUAUAACAAUCAAGGAAGCUGAUGUUUCACACUGAAAACUUACAUGCAUAGCUGCCUGGUCCAU